CCCAGUCAUAGUACAGGACGACAGCAUUAACAUGUUAAUCCAAGGUUUGGUAUACAACUUGUGAAGCUUUGAAUCAUACCUUUCAAUUUCACAGAACUGCCUAACGAGGAAGUCCUGCAACCUUAUUCAAGGAAGCAAAUAGUCAACGAAUGAGUCACGCUUCAAAAAUAGCUUACAACUUCGGGGAUCAUGUUUAUCUCGAAGACUUAACAGGUGGACCCAAAAUAGAAGCUUGAUGUGAAUAAAGGAGAGGAAGCACUGAAAUAUUGUACAUACAAUAAAGACGUUAUCCAU